rnacentral:rRNA from 1 species
GAUGAACGCUGGCGGCGUGCCUAAUACAUGCGAGUCGAGCGAACAGACGAGGAGCUUGCUCCUCUGACGUUAGCGGCGGACGGGUGAGUAACACGUGGAUAACCUACCUAUAUGACUGGGAUAACUUCGGGAAACCGGAGCUAAUACCGGAUAAUAUAUUGAACCGCAUGGUUCAAUAGUGAAAGACGGUUUUGCUGUCACUUAUAGAUGGAUCCGCGCCGCAUUAGCUAGUUGGUAAGGUAACGGCUUACCAAGGCAACGAUGCGUAGCCGACCUGAGAGGAUGAUCAGCCACACUGGAACUGAGACACGGUCCAGACUCCUACGGGAGGCAGCAGUAGGGAAUCUUCCGCAAUGGGCGAAAGCUUGACGGAGCAACGCCGCGUGAGUGAUGAAGGUCUUCGGAUCGUAAAACUCUGUUAUUAGGGAAGAACAAAUGUGUAAGUAACUAUGCACGUCUUGACGGUACCUAAUCAGAAAGCCACGGCUAACUACGUG